UACGAAGGGGGCUAGCGUUGCUCGGAAUUACUGGGCGUAAAGCGCGUGUAGGCGGCCCGGAAAGUCGGAUGUGAAAGCCCUGGGCUUAACCUAGGAAGUGCAUUCGAAACUGCCGGGCUUGAGUUCUGGAGAGGAAGGCGGAAUUCUCGGUGUAGAGGUGAAAUUCGUAGAUAUCGAGAGGAACACCUGCGGCGAAGGCGGGUUGCUGGGCUGAUACUGACGCUGAGGCGCGAAAGCCAGGGGAGCGAACGGG
rnacentral:rRNA from 1 species